rnacentral:rRNA from 1 species
AAAUUUGAAAUCUGGUAGCCUUCGGUUGCCCGAGUUGUAAUCUAGAGAAGUGUUUUCCGUGCCGGCCCAUGUACAAGUCCCUUGGAACAGGGCGUCAUAGAGGGUGAGAAUCCCGUCCUUGACAUGGACCCCCGGUGCUUUGUGAUACACUUUCAACGAGUCGAGUUGUUUGGGAAUGCAGCUCAAAAUGGGUGGUGAAUUCCAUCUAAAGCUAAAUAUUGGCGAGAGACCGAUAGCGAACAAGUACCGUGAGGGAAAGAUGAAAAGCACUUUGGAAAGAGAGUUAAACAGUACGUGAAAUUGUUGAAAGGGAAACGAUUGAAGUCAGUCAUGCUCUUAGGAUUCAGCCGUUCUGCGGUGUAUUUCCUUUGAGUGGGGUCAACAUCAGUUUUGAUCGAUGGAUAAAGGCACGAGGAAGGUAGCACUCUCGGGUGAACUUAUAGCCUCGCGUCAUAUACAUUGAUUGGGACUGAGGAACGCAGCAUGCCUUUAUGGCCGGGAUUCGUCCACGUACAUGCUUAGGAUGUUGACAUAAUGGCUUUAAACGACCCGUCUU